UAUUUAAAAAAUUCAAUUGUAAAUAAAUUUUAAUUAUUUAACAUAUUUUUUGCUGUAUUUCCUUAGCCCAUGCAAUUUAAAACUAUCCUAAACACUAAUAUUAAAUAUUAAAUUUUAUAAAUAACACAUCCCCACAAAAAAAAAGUGUCGUGCGCGACUGACCAGAGUAUCCUAUCCCUAUGUAUUUCGGUGCCCUGAACACGAAUCCAAGGUCAGAUUUGCUCCAUCCCGGCAGGUUUUUUUCUAGCCUCAAAAAACUAAUUUGGUCAAAACAUGGUGGAAACUCAUUUGAAAAAUUUAUCGGAUUUGCUUGAAACUCGUCAAUGGGGGCUUUUGGGGUCGCUGAUUACGAAUUUGAUGUCAGUUUUCUUGUUUCGAGAUGUAUCGAGUUCUUUUCUCUUCAAAAGAUCUAUUUAAAAGGGAAAGAUCUAGAUGCAAGGCCGGAGAAUUAUUCGUUUUAAGUAAGUCCGGUCUUAUUGGAUCCGCCAUUUUGAAUUUUUGAAAACUGAAUUUAAAUUUUUAACUAUUGCCUUCGGUCAGACGCGCACGACACUUUUUUUGUGAGGAUGUGUAAUUUAUACAGAAUGUUUUGGAAUAUCCGCUUUGGCAAUCAUGCCUUUAUAAAGCCCGGACCUGAUUCCGUUUCUAUACAAAAACAACGACACUCACAUACUUAGGACCAUUUACCGUAAGUUCAUUUACACUUCCAUACAUACAAACAUAACCAGAAACUACCUUACUAAAAAGACGCGACUGUGAACGAGUAGAAAAAUAACGAAGGAAAAAAGAAAUCAAAUGAAAAACUAACCGUUUAAAAUCUUUUCCAAACAUUUCAUUACACUUACAAUUAAAACUAAGUAUAAAAGUGUGUCGAAAACUGAAUGUAAAGCAAACUAUUGUGUGGUUAUAUACCGUAGAUAAGCAUUAAAUAUUAUCUGAUUUGUAAUUAUAAUGUGGAAUUCAUUAAACAAAGCUCAACUGGAAUUAAACUUGAGCUUUUUUCAAUGAACUCUCCCAAACAAGUUGUCAUUUCAAAAAAAAAAUAUCUAAAAGAAAAACAAUUGGUAAAUUUGCAAUGGAAAUAUCGCACAGCCGUCCAAAAGAGAGCAAAAAUAUUUGAAAAUUAAAAAAAAAUACCUUUCAACAUAUCAAAAAGAAAUUCAUUAUUAAAUAUUGAGUUUUUGAAAUGACAACUUUUAGAAUAACAACGAUAUCAACGAGACAAUUUGAAUUGCCAAAAUUAAAUACUUUAAUAUGUACUAAAUUUAGCUAUGAAUGAUAGAUUAUGAAUUAUGAUUAAGAUAAAGUAUGAUGACGAAUGGUGGUGUAUGUCUUUGUCUGCCACUUGAAUGACUUUUGGAUGAUUCUGAAUCUAUUGAAGAUGAGCCUCAGCCUGAGCUGAGCGAAGGCCGCCGCCGAGAGGAUCUUGCACAUUAUGGCUGUGGUAAACAAAAUGUGUUUUGAUUAAGUAUGACUUGAUGAGUACUUGAGAUGAUAAAUGAUGCUUGUGCGUGCGUUGUAUGAGGAAGAAUUGAUGAUGAGAAUUAUGUGAUGAUUGACAAAUGGUUGUUAUGCAAAAGUAGUGUUGGGAAAGAGAAAUAGUUUCGAGUGAAUGGAUGGUACAUCACACCCAGUACUAGAGAAGCACUCAUCUAGCACAAAUUUCUAACUUUUAUACAUUACAUAUUAAAUCUACAUGCCUGUGCAUAUGCAUAGAUCUAUUAUAAUGUAAGAACGUGUGUGCCCGUAACUGUGACUGAGUAUUUCUGUAUGUUAUCAUUCCAAAAACGAAAAAAACAACAAAAAAAAACCCAAAAACCGAAACCUCUUCAGAAUUUCAAGAAGCUUGUAAAAUUUUAAUUUUCCCUCAUUAGGCUUAAAACAUAUAAGCUAGGAUAAGGGUUAAAUGAGGGUUAAGAUGCCAGGCUGCUCCAAUUUUUUUGUUUGGAGAAUGGACACUUUAGCCGUUUUAUUAAAUGUGUGAAUAGGGUGUAGGUCGCGUCGUCUGUUCUACAAAAAAAUGCCAAUUGUGCUACAACUAUAACUGUAAACAUUGCCUGUGAUUUGAUAAACUGUGUAUGUUAAGAAUGUGUGUGUGCAUGUUCGUGUGCGUGUACGGGUAUGAUAUUGUGUGCAAGUAUUGAAGUAAAUAAAAAAAGCACCACGCGCAGCAGAGCAAAGUGAAAUGUAAAGAAAUUAUGAUAUUUUUAAUGUAAAAACAUAAACUAAUACUAAUAAACUGUACACAACGGUAAUUGUAAACGAAACGAAAACAAAAAAAAAAUAAAUUGAAAACGUAACAUAUGGUACUGAUUUUAUACUGAGAACUGAGACUUACUAUUUAUACAAAUACGAAACGAAACACUUACUUAAGGACUUACAAUGAAUUACUUUACCCAGGACUAUGCGACAUAUACAGAACGUACUACUACAUACUACAAAUAACGAUGAAAUUAUAAAAGGUAUGGACAACAGGCAAAAACAGCCAAGGAAAAUUGAAAGGCGCCUACGAACCAUUUGGAAAAUGUGGAUUUCGUCUUCAAGGUAUGAUAAGCAAAAGAGUUGCAUUUUACAUAGCAUUCGUUGCAUCACUUUUUUUUGGUCCGUUUGGCCUAUUGUCCAUAACCUCUGUUUCACAGCAAUUUCCCAGCGGGCGGAUUUUAAUGAAACUGCCUGCAGCCCAAAACCAAAUCAAACUAGUGAAAUUUACAUGAAACAUACAUACAUAACCACUUAUGCAUUACAUAUACAUUACAUACAUAUGAGCAUUAUAAUAAAUGAAUUGUAUUAAAUAUAUAUAUGACGAUAUAUAUUUAAACGAAACUAAGAGAAAUCGAACUACUGGUAACGCUGACGCGCGGUGCUUUUUAGAGAAUAUUUCUGUGCUAAUUCUGUAUGCUAGUAUA